rnacentral:lncRNA from 1 species
ACGCUUGUAGGAAAAUGUGUGCGGCCGUAAAAAAAAAUGGUUUCCAGUAGUGAUGCCGAUUAUGUUGAUGUAAAGAGAGAGAAAACAAAAGGAAAGUUCAACGGAUGGGGUUUGGUGGCUUCUCAACGGGCCGCAUUGUGUGUAACUUGUUAUCAUCACUUUUGGUGGAUCAAGAGCUAGAUAGAUUAAUCGCACCUUGUACUGGUUCUGGCGCUGAAUUUGCAACUUUCAUGCACGUUUU